GAUGCUCGUUACGCGCGGCAGGACGAAAAGACCCCGGGACCUUCACUAUAGCUUGGUAUUGGCGUUUGGUUCGGUUUGUGUAGGAUAGGUGGGAGACUGUGAAGCAGGCACGCCAGUGUUUGUGGAGUCAUCGUUGAAAUACCACUCUGAUCGUAUUGAACCUCUAACCUCGGACCGUAUAUCCGGUCCAGGGACAGUGCCUGGUGGGUAGUUUAACUGGGGCGGUUGCCUCCCAAAAUGUAACGGAGGCGCCCAAAGGUUCCCUCAACCUGGACGGCAAUCAGGUGUUGAGUGCAAGUGCACAAGGGAGCUUGACUGCGAGACUUACAAGUCGAGCAGGGACGAAAGUCGGGACUAGUGAUCCGGCAUCUCUGAGUGGAAGGGAUGUCGCUCAACGGAUAAAAGGUACCCCGGGGAUAACAGGCUGAUCUUCCCCAAGAGUCCAUAUCGACGGGAUGGUUUGGCACCUCGAUGUCGGCUCGUCGCAUCCUGGGGCUGGAGCAGGUCCCAAGGGUUGGGCUGUUCGCCCAUUAAAGCGGCACGCGAGCUGGGUUUAGAACGUCGUGAGACAGUUCGGUCUCUAUCCGCCGCGCGCGUCAGAAACUUGAGGAAACCUGUCCCUAGUACGAGAGGACCG
rnacentral:rRNA from 1 species